GGGUUAGUAGGUUAGUCAUGCCUCUGGUAUGUACUGGAAUCACUGAUUCCUCCUUCCUGAUAAACCUUAAUGCCAUUAAUUUGGUGUUUUGGGGAAUUUGGACUGUUACUUUGAAAAAAUUAGAGUGUUUAAAGCAAGCUAACGCUUGAAUACAUUAGCAUGGAAUAAUGAAAUAGGACGUUCGAUCCUAUUUUGUUGGUUUCUAGGAUUGACGUA
rnacentral:rRNA from 1 species